rnacentral:rRNA from 1 species
CCUACGGGAGACAGCAGUGAGGAAUAUUGCACAAUGGGGGAAACCCUGAUGCAGCGACGCCGCGUGAAUGAAGAAGUCUUUCGGGAUGUUAAACUCUAUCAGCAGGGAAGAAAAAAGACGGUACCUGACUAAGAAGCCCCGACUAACUAGUUACCAGCAGCCGCGGUAAUACGUAGGUGGCACGCGUUAUCCGGAUUUCCGGGGUGAAAAGGGAGCGUAGGGGGGAGUAAAAGUUGAAGAUGAAGUCUACGGCCUCAACGUAUAGCUGCGUUUAAAACUGUUAUUCUUGAGUGCAGUAGGGGCAGGCGGAAUUCCUAGUGUAGCGGUGAAAUGCGUAGAUAUCAGGAGGAACACCAGUUGCGAAGGCGGCCUGCUGGGCUUUUACUGACGUUGAGGCUCGAAAGCGUGGGUAGCAAACAGGAUUAGAUACCCCAGUAGUC